UAAAAUGGGAUACAAUUGUGGGAGCUACAAAUGUAUAAAAUCAGUACACCUGAAACUGGAAUUGCAUCAAAAAUAACCAGGCUAAAACCUCGAGACGUUUUACAUUUAUAUAUUUGAACUGAUUGGACAAUGAAUUAUAUUUGUCACCAUGUCACACAUCGUGUACUUCCGGUUUAGCAAAAUAUUCCUUGCGCUUAUAGUGUCUGAACACCUCAAUUUGGUAAGAUUCACAUUUGCCGACGUUCAUCCGGAUCAUCGGACGUCAUUUGGGGACUCUGCAUGGACAAUAUUUGACACGGACACACUUUAUCCGUGCAUAAAACUUGAAGGAGCAAUAAGUUUUAGAAUUCUGGGAGACUCACAUUUCACAGAUGAAACGGAGACUAUUUUCGUACCAUACGAUGCUCAAGCUACUGGACAUUGUCAAUCUUUGUGGGGGGACUAUCAAGACAUCAGAUUGACUUGGAAUACCACCCGAAGAACCAGCAUCCUUGGAAUAGCAGAUGAAUCUGUUAACCAGUAUCAUUCUUAUUCAAUCUACUUUGGCUUUGCCACUUCUUGGGAGAGUGAAUUUUCAAAUUUGAAGAUUAAUUCAAAUGAAUUUGCACUUAACAGCGUCACUAUCGUGGUCGAGGAAGGAUUAAAUCAUAAGAAUCCUAACUCUUACUCCGUUUCCGACUUUGCUGCUUUUCUCACCCCAAAGAAUCACACUUUUGCCUGCUCCACUGUGAACUUUCAGAGAGGAGAUUUGUUUUUGAGUAUCUCCAAUUUUCGAUUGCUAGCUUUUAAUAUUAAUGAAAAUAAGUUUAAUAACCAAUUUCAAUGUGAAGCUGAUGACAGUUUGACGACUCAUUGGGAAAAUAUUGUAAAGGGGAUGGGGUUGAUUUUUGUGGGUUUCUUUGCUUUAUGUUUAAUAGGAGUAAUUUUGAUAUUGCUUGCCGGAGGUUUCAAUAAUCGACAUGAUAUUAUAGCAAUUGGUUAUAACUUUGUUGGAACUGGAGUACGGCCCACCUCCUCCGAGGCAUAAAAUAUAGUAAACUUGUUGAAAGUAGCAAUUAUCACAAUUUCUUUAUAGAUUUAAAUGAAACUAAAAUUAAAAAUAUUUAUUUGUUCGUAUGUAAAGCCCUAGACAUUAGAAGUAAAAUCGUUGGAGUAGGACAAAAUUAAAACUGUCAACUGAAACUAAUGUUAUCUCUAAUUUAAUUAUUUGAUUGUAAAGGCGUCCGCUGUAUCAAUCUGAGGAAUAAACUAUUUAUCUAUCUAUCUAUAUAGUAAACUUGUUCAAAAUUAUGUACGCUCUUGUAAAAUAAAUAAAUAGACGUGCAUAAUGUUUAAUAUUUCAUUUAUUUUUGAAUGUGAACAAACCUUGAAGCAUGUAGUUAUACUUCUUGCGCAUAGUCCCGUGAUCAAUAAAUUGACUCGAAUUAUAUUUAGUUUGCCUACCACUCUAUGAUAUUCUGCUGUAUUUACAAUGUAAACUGAUAAAGCGAUAACCGUAUAUGGGUCGUUACUAAUAAACACAACUACAUAAUAAGCAUAAGUGAGAACCUGUCAAAUGAAAAUGCGCAUAUAGUCAUUGCAAACGUAAUAUUUGAAAAGACAUAAAAUUGUAGAAUUAGCUUCUUUCGAAAUCAUUCAUAGUUAUAAAAAAUAAGAGACACCGAUUAACGGUACAAUGGCAAAAGUGAACAACAUUUUACUUGUUUUUACAAUCUUCGCACUUUUGAUUUCCCAAGUUCAGCCGCAGCAGAAUGACGAAAUGGAAGAAGCAGAACUUUCACCCCCGGAAAUCGUUUCUGAUGAUAAACUUCAGGCAAAAACAAGCGCAUCAGAUUCGACAACGCUUCCACCUCCUACUUCUCCUACCCCAGAACAACCAUUUCCACAUAAUAUCCUGACACAGGAAGUAAAAUACCCUCCUCCCUUCAGCAACAGUUCCUGCAUAAUAUUCCAUGGAGCCAUCCAACUUCAUCUCAAUAGUAGCUUCUUUUUUGGAAAGAACACUGAUUUGAAAAUUGAUGUCCCAGUUAAUGCUACCGGAAAUGGCAACUGUGGGAAUGUGACACAAACAUUAUUAUUGGAAUGGAAAAGAGAAAGCAUCAACACGUCGCAGGAGAUUGAGUACUCUUUGACUAUCGAGUUUGGAUUCAGACCGAAUAAUACAAAACAAUAUGACAUACAAGUGAUUUCCUUGUUGAUGACAACUUACAAUACAACUACGACUCCGAAAACUUUGCAAGCAAACUUUACUUCCUUGGCAAAUGGUCCAUUUUACCCAGUGGAUUUUAAUCACUCAUUCUUAUGCAUAUCCAGAACUGUAAUGACCGGAACCAAUUUGACUGUCCUCACUUCAUCCCUGCAGGUUGAAGCUUUUAGGCCGCAAACAUCAGCACAAAAGUCUUUCUCAGACGCACAAAUUUGCAGUAAGGAUAAUAGUACUGUAGGAACGGUAAUUGGCAUCGCUGUGGGGUCAGUCCUGGUAAUAAUCUUGGCACUGCUAUUUGGAGGUUACGUAGGCUUCCGAUAUGGUUAUUGCAAUUGGCCGUGCUGUAACCGAAGAAACAGUGGCUACCAGCGAUUGGACAUUUGAUAGCUUCAACACGUAUUUUAACUAUUUUUAUGCUAACUUUUCCUGCAAAUACAGGCUACACGAAUGUAUGUAUGUAUACCAGGUGCAAGGCAGAUAUAUACAUAUAUAUAUAUGAAUAAAUAUAUAGAAAUGCAGUUGUUCCUA